UCCAGACUCCUACGGGAGGCAGCAGUGAGGAAUAUUGGUCAAUGGUCGGGAGACUGAACCAGCCAAGCCGCGUGAGGGAAGAAGGUACAGCGUAUCGUAAACCUCUUUUGUCAGGGAACAAAGGCGGGGACUAGUCCCCGGAUGAGGGUACCUGAAGAAAAAGCAUCGGCUAACUCCGUGCCAGCAGCCGCGGUAAUACGGAGGAUGCGAGCGUUAUCCGGAUUUAUUGGGUUUAAAGGGUGCGCAGGCGGCCGCUUAAGUCAGCGGUAAAAUUGCGGGGCUCACCCUCGUCGAGCCGUUGAAACUGGGUGCCUUGAGUGGGCGAGAAGUACGCGGAAUGCGUGGUGUAGCGGUGAAAUGCUUAGAUAUCGCGCAGAACCCCGAUUGCGAAGGCAGCGUACCGGCUCCACACUGACGCUGAGGCACGAAAGCGUGGGUAUCGAACAGGAUUAGAUACCCGGGUACU
rnacentral:rRNA from 1 species